GUACUUCUUCUGUGAAAAUGUUUCAUUUUGUUGCUUGUGAAUUUUUACCAUCUUACUGAGUUGUUGUGAUUUUACUGCAGUGAAUUUUCUUGCAACUUUGAGGCUUCUGUUAACAACACUCAACCUUGCAAGAGUAGCUUGUUUCUCCAUGUGAAAACUUCACUGUUGGACAUGGUUGUUGGUGAUUGGUUGGAACCUAAAUAAUAGGGAUCCGGUGUUGUUAUUUGGAAAUGGAUUGGCCUUUGUUAUGAGACCUUGCAGGCUGGCUGAAUGGCUUUUGUCAUCAAGAGGAAUGGACUUGAGCUGCUUUGGAUUGCCACUCACAUGUAAUUUUGCAAGUUGUUAUGGCACAAGGCUGAAACAAAUGGAGCUGCUUGGAUUGUGGGGCUGUCAUGACUGAACCCUGUUAAGUGUUUUCCACCCUUGAAUUUCUUUGUUGCUGUUAUGACUUGUUAUUGAUGUGGUUUGGCUCGAUGAUUAUUUUGCAUGAUUGUUACAUGUUGUCCUAGCAUGAUGAUAGUUGCAGGAUGCUCACUAUUUUGAUGUUUGCUUGGUUGUGACCUGAACCAUGACAUUAUCUAGGAUAAUGUUUUUGCACUAUAUUUCCAUGGUAAAUGAGUCUGCUUGUCCUGAACACAUGGCCUACUGUCAUACAUUGACUUCAUUAUAUUAUGGUUGUCGUGCAUUGAUUGCCUUGCCUUGCUAAUGCCUUGACCGACUUCUUAUACCAUGGCUAUUUCCUGAUGAAUUUAUGGCAAUGUUCAGAAAUGUGUAGGGCCCUUUUAGAUGUCUUGUUGCAGCUGGUAGGUAUAGCAGGAUUUGUGGUGGUUUGGUUUAUUCUAAAAUGCUCAUGGUGCAUUGAUGCUUCAGAAGAGAACUCUCAGGUUCAAACGCUUCUAACCUAUCUGGCAAUAGCUCAGGUCCCUUGAACCUUGAUCCAAUGGUUCAGCAAGGUCUUGCAGUGAUUCUACUGCAGGUGAGGCAUUAUUUCAUAUGGUUCAUGAUUGUAUGGCCUAGCUCAAACCAUUGUUCCAACUUCAGUCAUCAUAUCAUGACCUUAUGGAGUUCAUGUUUUGAUUUGGCUGCUGCAGUACCAUGAUGGCAAGAUGUGUCAAGGGCCAGUUCAGCAGGGUAAAGGUUGGUCUUCUUGUUUGCUGAAUUGGUUUGUGCAUCCAACAUGGUGUUAUGGUUGCUGAAAAGUACAUGUGUAUGUGAAUGUCCUUAUUGCAUUGCAACCACCUUCCAUGAUUCUGAACUGUAAUGGGCUGUGUUAUUCCAAUGCAGAUUUUUAAGGUUGGGUUGAAGCAGUUAGAUGCUAGCAUGGCUUUGGUUUGCCGCAACAGGUCAAGUUGAACUAGGUUGCAAUAUGGGGCAUGCCAACUGGUAGCCCUGGCCUUGAAAACUUGUUUUAAAGGAUUAGCUUGGUCAUGCUGUAACAGGUUUUGGUAUCUUAAUGUGGUACCAAGCAAUGAACAUGGUUGCAAGCUAACUUGGGUUGAUUUGUACUUGCUUGCAGGCCUGACGAAUGCAGUUUCGGUUUCGGUGCCGUUGCAUUCAUUUGUGUGGGGCUUGUUGCUAUCCUGACUGGAAUUUGCCCUUGGAGGAGUCUUGUGAAUUGGCCUGUGGUCAUAUUGG